rnacentral:snRNA from 1 species
AUACUUUUCUCGACUUUUUGGCUAAGAGAAAAUAUAGUAUCUACAGUUUAAUAUCUGGUAUGUGGGUUAUAUGACCACUUUAAUUUUAAGUUUAUUUUUUGUGGGGAGGAUCCACU